UAGGCCAGGCUCAUGGGGCUUUUUUUUUCUUGAUUUUCGGCUUGUCUUUGUGUGUAAGCUCUUUGUUCAUUCCAGGUGAACCGAAAUCAUGUGAUAUGAAAGGGGACAGAGCGGGUUAUUAUAAAGGGUUUUCGGGCUCUGCCGAGGGCUGUCAGUGAGAAGAUGCGAGCUUGGGGGAAGCAUUGAUAUCUGCCUGCGGGGCUGUAUCAUCAGCCAUCUCCUGGCAUCACCACUAUCCCUGUGAAUGACAUAUAGACAAACACCCAUAUAUCAUAUGGGAUAGACAAGUCUGCUUCUAUCCAGACAUCCUACAAUGUCUACUUGGAUUAUAAUAUGGAACCUGCAGUAAGGAGACGGCUGCAAUUCUUGGAUCUCUGACGAUCAUGUAGCUGCGGAUGGAAAUGAAUGCAUCAUCAUAUAGAUAUAUGUAUGUAAUAUAUGUUGACUGUACAUCCGAUGACCAAACCUGGCCGUGCUCUAGUGGCAGGACUGCUGACUGUGCCACAGAAGAUACUUUAGAAGAUAAAGUCAUGCCAUUCUGCUUCUUUGUGGUCUUGGACAGAUGAACCUUCCUCCAACUUCCAAAGGGCACCAGCUGGAUUUUUUCCUGAGGUUCAUAUGGAUCACUGAUUUUAUAAAGGCAUUUACCAUGGACCACACGUGGCAUACUUAUGGACAUUGCCACCAUAUAGGACUUUGCAAUCCCCUCCACAUUCCCUGAGAAAACGUGCGCUAUAUUUCAGAAUAAAUCCUGUACAAGUAAGAUGGAGCUGUAUAUGCUGAUUCUAAUAAAGAGGUGGAACACUGUGCUGUGGUGUCCCACAUUUGAUACCA